AUGGAGUGCCCAAACUGCGAACGUCGCAUUGAUAAUAGUGAUGUUUCAUCACAGUGGCCAGGACUCCCUAUUGGUGUUAAAUUUGAUCCAACGGAUCUUGAACUGCUUGGACAUUUAGAAGGCAAGAUUGGCAGGGCAGUGUCCCAUGUACUAAUAGAUGAUUUUAUUCCAACCAUAGAGAUGGCGGAAGGAAUCUGCUACACACAUCCGGAAAAUCUCCCUGGUGUCAAAUUAGACGGGAUCGCCAGUCACUUCUUCCACAAAAUAUGCAAUGCCUAUGAUGUUGGCACACGCAAGCGUCGCAAGAUUAGCAGCAACGACUACAAUGUUUGUGAUGAGAAUCUCAGAUGGCACAAGACUGGAAAAUCUAGACAUAUCUUAAAUAAUAACGGUGACAUAAAAGGGUGGAAGAAAAUAAUGGUUCUUAGGAAAGGAGGUGCCAAGGCAGAAAAGACUAAUUGGACGAUGCAUCAGUAUCACCUUGGGGUAGAUGAAAAUGAAAAGGACGGGGAGCUUGUUGUUUGCAAAGUCUUCUUUCAGUUGCCGUCAGAGAAAGCUGGGCAGUCUGCAAUGCUCGCUGUUAAUGAAGAAUCCGAUUCAUUUGCUGGGAAAAUCGAUCCUACAACCCCAAUGACAUACCCUCUGCAGCCUUGUCGCCCAAACGGUAGUCCAUCCGAAACCGAGCAGAAUCAGGAGGAGGAAGAGUUCCGCCUAUCUGCUGUCCGGGGAGCCGCGGAAUGGCUCGCCGGAACCUCGUCGCAUGCCUUUGAUGAACACCCGUCACGCGGCAGAACCCCGGACGCUGCCUACCCUGAGAAGCAGCAUCUGCUUCUUGUUGACACGGACGCGCUCCAAGGGUUCCCCCACCUCGGAGCGUCUCCGCACUUCUCCUCUCUGGCCGUAAGCGCUGCCGCGUUCAUCAUGCUCGUUUCGUUUCGCGGUGCAUAUUUCUCAUGGCUCAUCUCCUUAUCUCGUGUGUGUUUACGGCAGGACAUGCAGCUUGACUCGCUGGAUAGCUUCAACAGCUGGCUGGAGCACAUGUAG
rnacentral:rRNA from 1 species